GCAGCGAUGAACGCUCUGAAUAGCGUUACAACGCUAUGGGUUUUCGUUUUCCCUCUCAAACGAACCCGAUCGACCACAUUUUUAUUCUCCCACUUUGUUGCUGCCUUAGCUUUACUCUAAAACGAGUCGACCAACUCCCUUCCAUGGAAGCGUUCAUGUUGCCACCGCUCUUUCCUCCCUAUUGCCCAAGCUUUUGUUUCAUCUCAAGCUUUCUUGUCGUCGCAGCUUCGCUUCGACUUCAUCUCCAAGAGGUUCUUUAGGGUUCAAAGGAUAUUUGCAUUUCGUCGACAGCAAAGUUUGCGUCCUUCUGUUGAUCGCUUAAGGUUGUCCAUCUGCACUAAGGUGAAUUUUAUCUUGUAUUUGCCCUCUUUUUACUCUUUGCUUCACUUUCAUUUCACAAUUUUCUCUCUGUAUCUUUCAUCCUCCCUUCAGAACACUGUUGUUGAAUCUUCUCUUGAAUCCACUCCCAUUGUACAAGAUUUGGCUCCAAUCCAACCUCAAAAUGGGUAACUCUUUCUUCAUGCCUUAUUUAUUGAGAAGGGGCGUUUGGAGACAACAUGUACUGUGCUCAGGAAGUUUGGAUACAAUAAUGAUAUCAAGCUUGCGGAUGAACUUGUGUGGUCAACUGCUUUGUAUCCAAUAUCGUUUUGGUGUGGAUGAACUUGAUUUUCUUUGUUGUUGAACUGGUGGAAAUUUAGUUUUCUUUGUUGUUGAAUUCAUGAUGUUAAAGAAGUAAAGUUUUUAUA